GGAAUAUUGGACAAUGGGUGAAAGCCUGAUCCAGCCAUCCCGCGUGAAGGAUGACGGUCCUAUGGAUUGUAAACUUCUUUUGUAUAGGGAUAAACCUAGAUACGUGUAUCUAGCUGAAGGUACUAUACGAAUAAGCACCGGCUAACUCCGUGCCAGCAGCCGCGGUAAUACGGAGGGUGCAAGCGUUAUCCGGAUUUAUUGGGUUUAAAGGGUCCGUAGGCGGACCGAUAAGUCAGUGGUGAAAUCUCAUAGCUUAACUGUGAAACUGCCAUUGAUACUGUCGGUCUUGAGUAAAUUUGAAGUGGCUGGAAUAAGUAGUGUAGCGGUGAAAUGCAUAGAUAUUACUUAGAACACCAAUUGCGAAGGCAGGUCACUAAGAUUUAACUGACGCUGAGGGACGAAAGCGUGGGUAGCGAACAGGAUUAGAUACCCUUG
rnacentral:rRNA from 1 species